rnacentral:rRNA from 1 species
GAUGAACGCUGGCGGCGUGCCUAAUACAUGCAAGUCGAGCGAACAGACGAGGAGCUUGCUCCUCUGACGUUAGCGGCGGACGGGUGAGUAACACGUGGAUAACCUACCUAUAAGACUGGGAUAACUUCGGGAAACCGGAGCUAAUACCGGAUAAUAUAUUGAACCGCAUGGUUCAAUAGUGAAAGACGGUUUUGCUGUCACUUAUAGAUGGAUCCGCGCCGCAUUAGCUAGUUGGUAAGGUAACGGCUUACCAAGGCAACGAUGCGUAGCCGACCUGAGAGGGUGAUCGGCCACACUGGAACUGAGACACGGUCCAGACUCCUACGGGAGGCAGCAGUAGGGAAUCUUCCGCAAUGGGCGAAAGCCUGACGGAGCAACGCCGCGUGAGUGAUGAAGGUCUUCGGAUCGUAAAACUCUGUUAUUAGGGAGGAACAAAUGUGUAAGUAACUAUGCACGUCUUGACGGUACCUAAUCAGAAAGCCACGGCUAACUACGUG